GACGAACGCUGGCGGCGUGCUUAACACAUGCAAGUCGAGCGGUAAGGCCCUUUCGGGGGUACACGAGCGGCGAACGGGUGAGUAACACGUGGGUGACCUGCCCUCAGCUCUGGGAUAAGCCUGGGAAACCGGGUCUAAUACUGGAUAUGACUCCAUGACGCAUGUUGUGGGGUGGAAAGCCUUGUGCGGCUGAGGAUGGGCCCGCGGCCUAUCAGCUUGUUGGUGGGGUGAUGGCCUACCAAGGCGACGACGGGUAGCCGGCCUGAGAGGGCGACCGGCCACACUGGGACUGAGACACGGCCCAGACUCCUACGGGAGGCAGCAGUGGGAAUCUUGCGCAAUGGGCGAAAGCCUGACGCAGCGACGCCGCGUGAGGGAUGACGGCCUGG
rnacentral:rRNA from 1 species